GUGAACGCUGGCGGUAGGCCUAACACAUGCAAGUCGCACGGCAGCACAGUAAGAGCUUGCUCUUACGGGUGGCGAGUGGCGGACGGGUGAGGAAUACAUCGGAAUCUACUUUUUCGUGGGGGAUAACGUAGGGAAACUUACGCUAAUACCGCAUACGACCUACGGGUGAAAGCAGGGGAUCUUCGGACCUUGCGCGAUUGAAUGAGCCGAUGUCGGAUUAGCUAGUUGGCGGGGUAAAGGCCCACCAAGGCGACGAUCCGUAGCUGGUCUGAGAGGAUGAUCAGCCACACUGGAACUGAGACACGGUCCAGACUCCUACGGGAGGCAGCAGUGGGGAAUAUUGGACAAUGGGCGCAAGCCUGAUCCAGCCAUACCGCGUGGGUGAAGAAGGCCUUCGGGUUGUAAAGCCCUUUUGUUGGGAAAGAAAAGCAGCGGUUAAUACCCCGCUGUUCUGACGGUACCCAAAGAAUAAGCACCGGCUAACUUCGUG
rnacentral:rRNA from 1 species